rnacentral:rRNA from 2 species
UGCCUAUUAGUGGGGGACAACAUGGUGAAAACCAUGCUAAUACCGCAUACGCCCUACGGGGGAAAGCGGGGGAUCUUCGGACCUCGCGCUAAUAGAUGAGCCUGCGUUAGAUUAGCUAGUUGGUGGGGUAAAGGCUCACCAAGGCGACGAUCUAUAGCUGGUCUGAGAGGACGAUCAGCCACACUGGGACUGAGACACGGCCCAGACUCCUACGGGAGGCAGCAGUGGGGAAUAUUGGACAAUGGGCGGAAGCCUGAUCCAGCAAUACCGCGUGUGUGAAGAAGGCCUGAGGGUUGUAAAGCACUUUCAAUUGGGAGGAAAACAGGCAGGUUAAUAUCCUGUCUCUUGACAUUACCUUUAGAAGAAGCACCGGCUAACUCCGUGCCAGCAGCCGCGGUAAUACGGAGGGUGCGAGCGUUAAUCGGAAUUACUGGGCGUAAAGAGUUCGUAGGUGGUUUGUUAAGUUAGAUGUGAAAGCCCCGGGCUCAACCUGGGAACUGCAUUUAAAACUGGCAAACUCGAGUUUAGGAGAGGGAAGUGGAAUUUCAGGUGUAGCAGUGAAAUGCGUAGAGAUCUGAAGGAACACCAGUGGCGAAGGCGACUUCCUGGACUAAAACUGACGCUGAGGAACGAAAGCGUGGGUAGCAAACGGGAUUAGAUACCCCGGUAGUCCACGCCGUAAACGAUGUCAACUAGCCGUUGGGU